GCAUUUGGCGGGAUCUGUGUCUCUCGCUGGUGCUGGCACAGGAGCUUGGGAUCUGUCUCCUCUUUCGCCUCCUGCACCUUGAGAGCCCUGGGCUACUCUGUCACAGCCCCUGUUGCCCUGCGAUCUGUAGGUCCUUGGGGACGCAUAGUUAAGGUGCCAGGACAUCCUGGAAGCUGGGAAAUGAUUUCUUCCAGACCAUGGCUGGAGAAGGAAAGAAGGUGUGUUUUGCCUGAUUCAGGGACUAUAGAGAGAACCAAGUUCUGCAGGCCUGUCAUCUAAGUCUCAGGGCGGGGAGACCUUCCUUCCCCACGGGUUUGAGGCUAUGGCUAAGUGGUGAGCCUUGGUGAGACGCAGAAAGGAUCCAUCCCAGGCACUUGGCUAGAGGCAGGUUCCUGGGAUCUGAUAAAACUGAUAUUGGAGACGCUGGAGCUGAUCCGACAUAGCAAUGGUGUUGACUCCCUCCUUAUGUGUGGAUUGCUCAGCGGGGGAACUUGACUGUCCAACAUGCUGGGUGCAAGAACAGCAGAAAGGGGACUUUUAAGAUGUGGCAAACAUGAGGCCUCUUCGGAGAGGACUUUGGAAACCAGGCCUUGCUUGCCCCUGAACUUUGACUCACCCACAGCCUCAGAGAACCUACAACCCAUAUUUAUACAUAUCCCUCCUAAGAACAGGCUGACUUCAAGAUGAAACAUUAUCUUAUCUGGGAUCUGAUUUUGCUACCCUCCAUCCUGUGCUUCCUUUCCAACCUUCUUUGUAAACUUAUUUUCUCCUCCCUAUGAAAUAAAACCCUUUUCCACCUAA
rnacentral:lncRNA from 1 species